AACUUAAGCAUAUCAAUAAGCGGAGGAAAAGAAACCAACAGGGAUUGCCUCAGUAACGGCGAGUGAAGCGGCAACAGCUCAAAUUUGAAAUCUGGCUCUUUCAGGGUCCGAGUUGUAAUUUGUAGAGGAUGCUUCGGGUACGGCUCCGGUCUAAGUUCCUUGGAACAGGACGUCACAGAGGGUGAGAAUCCCGUACGUGACCGGCCGCCACGCCCAUGUGAAGCUCCUUCGACGAGUCGAGUUGUUUGGGAAUGCAGCUCAAAAUGGGUGGUAAAUUUCAUCUAAAGCUAAAUAUUGGCCAGAGACCGAUAGCGCACAAGUAGAGUGAUCGAAAGAUGAAAAGCACUUUGGAAAGAGAGUUAAACAGUACGUGAAAUUGUUGAAAGGGAAGCGCUUGCAACCAGACUUGCCCGCGGGUGAUCAGCCGGUAUUUUUACCGGUGCACUCGCCCGUGGUCAGGCCAGCAUCGGUUUGGGCGGUUGGAUAAAGUCCCCCUGAAUGUAGCUCCUCUCGGGGAGUGUUAUAGCUGGGGGUGCAAUGCAACCCGCCCGGACCGAGGACCGCGCUUCGGCUAGGAUGCUGGCGUAAUGGUUGUAAGCGGCCCGUCUUGAA
rnacentral:rRNA from 1 species